rnacentral:rRNA from 1 species
UCCUGGAUUCAGCGGCGGACGGGUGAGUAAUGCCUAGGAAUCUACCUUAUAGUGGGGGAUAGCCCGGAGAAAUUCGGAUUAAUACCGCAUAAGCCCUACGGGGGAAAGAGGGCCUCUUCUUGAAAGCUCUCGCUAUUAGAUGAGCCCGCGUAAGAUUAGCUAGUUGGUAGGGUAAAGGCCUACCAAGGCAACGAUCUUAGCUGGUCUGAGAGGAUGAUCAGCCACACUGGGACUGAGACACGGCCCAGACUCC